rnacentral:rRNA from 1 species
AUUGAACGCUGGCGGCAUGCUUUACACAUGCCAGUCGAACGGUAACAGGCCUUCGGGUGCUGACGAGUGGCGAACGGGUGAGUAAUGCAUCGGAACGUGCCCAGAGGUGGGGGAUAACGCAGCGAAAGCUGUGCUAAUACCGCAUGUGAUCUGAGGAUGAAAGCGGGGGACCAAGCAGCAAUGUUUGGCCUCGCGCCUCUGGAGCGGCCGAUGUCAGAUUAGGUAGUUGGUGGGGUAAAGGCCUACCAAGCCGACGAUCUGUAGCUGGUCUGAGAGGACGACCAGCCACACUGGGACUGAGACACGGCCCAGACUCCUACGGGAGGCAGCAGUGGGGAAUUUUGGACAAUGGGCGCAAGCCUGAUCCAGCAAUGCCGCGUGCGGGAAGAAGGCCUUCGGGUUGUAAACCGCUUUUGUACGGAACGAAAAGGCUCUGGCUAAUACCUGGGGCUGAUGACGGUACCGGAAGAAUAAGCACCGGCUAACUACGUG